CCACCACCAAAGCAUUCUCUGGUGUUGAAGGCCCUGCAAAGCAGCAUCGCGGUGGCGGAGCGUCGUUUGCGACGCCCAACACACAAAACAAGCGGUGAGUGCUUUGGGGUGGGGUGACUGCGUACCUUUUGUAUAAUGGGUCAGCGACUUAUAUUCUGUAGCAAGGUUAACCGAAUAGGGGAGCCGGAGGGAAACCGAGUCUUAAUUGGGCGUUAAGUUGCAGGGUAUAGACCCGAAACCCGGUGAUCUAGCCAUGGGCAGGUUGAAGGUUGGGUAACACUAACUGGAGGACCGAACCGACUAAUGUUGAAAAAUUAGCGGAUGACCUGUGGCUGGGGGUGAAAGGCCAAUCAAACCGGGAGAUAGCUGGUUCUCCCCGAAAGCUAUUUAGGUAGCGCCUCGUGAAUUCAUCUCCGGGGGUAGAGCACUGUUUCGGCUAGGGGGCCAUCCCGGCUUACCAACCCGAUGCAAACUGCGAAUACCGGAGAAUGUUAUCACGGGAGACACACGGCGGGUGCUAACGUCCGUCGUGAAGAGGGAAACAACCCAGACCGCCAGCUAAGGUCCCAAAGUCAUGGUUAAGUGGGAAACGAUGUGGGAAGGCCCAGACAGCCAGGAUGUUGGCUUAGAAGCAGCCAUCAUUUAAAGAAAGCGUAAUAGCUCACUGGUCGAGUCGGCCUGCGCGGAAGAUGUAACGGGGCUAAACCAU
rnacentral:rRNA from 8 species